ACAGUGCGCUGCUCGGUAAACACGCCCCAGGCACAGGGAUGGAGACAUUUGUUUUAGGGAAAUUCUUUUUCUUUUCUUUUUUUCCCCCCCUCAAGUAAAUAAACAAUCGAGGCGGACAGAUAAACAUAUUAACAAACAAAAGAAAGGAUUUUUUUCCCUCCCCAGCUGGAUGGUUCUACUACCAUGUGUGCCUUACUGGCAGGGAGGGGGCGCCAUGACAAUGCUAUGGUGCAAAGUCCAAACGUGACUGCCGAAAAGGGAUGAGUUGCUGCAUGUGUUUGAGCAAAUGAGUUUUCGAGCAGUUGAGCAGCAGCAGCCCCAGAACAAACAAGGGAAUCACGCCAGUUGCAUCUUCACUUUCCCGUAUAGUGGCAGAUGAAGCGGACAUGUGCACAUACCUUCUACUCUGCCAAGCAACAGCUCAAUUACUUUAAGUGGAGGAAGGAGAAGUCCUCUCCGCAUGCCUUGGCCAGUAGUUGGUGGGUCUGUGCGAGCAGGCUGGUACCCGCUGACCCCUGCCCUCUCAUUAGUGGGACGUGGAGCAGCGGAGUACCGUGCUCCCCAGGUCAUGUUACAUAUGGCUUGCAGUCUGCUGUGCCGCAUUAAAUGUCAGCUUUGAAACCAUCUGAAAGAUCAGAGGUCAGUGUUUUUAAUAAGACCGGAGU